GGCCGCCAUGUUGCAGCAGGAUAGUAAUGAUGACACUGAAGAUGUUUCACUGUUUGAUGCGGAAGAGGAGACGACUAAUAGACCAAGAAAAGCCAAAAUCAGGUAGGAGGAGAGAAGUUGCAUGAGCUGUGUUAGUGUCCAGUGCUGUUCUGUAUGUAUGUCAGUGCUAGCUGAUGGGAGUCAAGGCAGAGUUGUUUCAAUGUGCUUGUGAAUACUGCAUGUUGCUAAUUUGACGUUUAGUGUACGACAAAGAUGACAUUUCAGAUUUUCUUGUGAAUAAUUGGCAUACUUAAUACUGAGUUUUAAAAUCAGCAAAUCCAAUUAUUUGAACACCUG
rnacentral:lncRNA from 1 species